AUCCAGCUGAUGAGUCCCAACUAGAACGGAACUCGCGUCCUGGAU
rnacentral:hammerhead_ribozyme from 1 species